rnacentral:lncRNA from 1 species
GUGAAGCUAGAUGUGAGCACUCAGGAUUGUGUGAAGCUAGGAGUGAGCACUCAGCACUGUGUGAAGCUAGGAGUGAGCACACAGCACUGUGUGAAGCUAGGUGUGAGCACUCAGCACUGUGUGAAGCUAGGAGUGAGCACUCAGCAUUGUGUGAAGCUAGGAGUGAGCACUCAGCGCUGUGUGAAGCUAGGUGUGAGCACUCAGCACUGUGUGAAGCUAGGAG